rnacentral:rRNA from 1 species
GUGGGGAAUAUUGGACAAUGGGCGAAAGCCUGAUCCAGCCAUGCCGCGUGUGUGAAGAAGGUCUUCGGAUUGUAAAGCACUUUAAGUUGGGAGGAAGGGCAGUAAGUUAAUACCUUGCUGUUUUGACGUUACCGACAGAAUAAGCACCGGCUAACUUCGUGCCAGCAGCCGCGGUAAUAUGAAGGGUGCAAGCGUUAAUCGGAAUUACUGGGCGUAAAGCGCGCGUAGGUGGUUUUGUAAGUUGGAGGUGAAAUCCCCGGGCUCAACCUGGGAACUGCCUCCAAAACUACUGAGCUAGAGUACGGUAGAGGGUAGUGGAAUUUCCUGUGUAGCGGUGAAAUGCGUAGAUAUAGGAAGGAACACCAGUGGCGAAGGCGACUACCUGGACUGAUACUGACACUGAGGUGCGAAAGCGUGGGGAGCAAACAGGAUUAGAAACCCUAGUAGUCC